rnacentral:lncRNA from 1 species
ACCACUUCUCGAUGUCCAUCCCAGCAGCCUCAGUUACAACUGGCUUCCUGAAGAAAGUUUUCAAAAACGUUAUGUAUUAGUCAUUGAACCCUAGACUACGCUAAAAGGUUCUUGGCCUUUGUAGAAGGGGAUGGUUCAUUGUUGUCCCACUGCCUGGUAACAACUCAAGUGACAGAGCCUGGAAAUGGGACCCAGAAGUAUACUGUAAGAGAAGACACCACACCCAGAAGAGGGUGGCAACCCCAGCUUCUUGUACUCCAGUUGGGGGAUUUGAACUUUUUGCAUUCAUGCAAUGCAAGGAAGCAUCUUAUUUAUCACCCUUGAAAUUGCCAUUUGGAGAAAGCAUCUUAAAAGACCACCUGAGCAGUUUUUUAGAGUCAGUGUAUUAGUCCAUUCUCACACUGCUAAUAAAGACAUACCUAAGACUGGGUAAUUUAUAAAGGCA